AUCAUAAUCAAUCAAAUGUUAACCACAGCUUUUAGUAAUGCUUAAAAAGGUAAAUUUCAGCAACUGAUUCUCCGCUAGUCAGUUAAGUUUAUAUUAAAAUAUUAUUUGAUUUACUUUUUUUAAUAUAAUUUUGUAUCAAAAUUUUUUUAUCCUUAAGAAAAUGAAAGAAUUCAUACAUAUGAUAAAUUAUAAUAUUUUACUUGUAUAACACUAGAGGGAAGGAGAUAAACCUCUUUGUCCAGACAUUGUUCCUCUGGUUGUCCAAUGCUUUGAAGUUUCAGCAGUAGACAUUCCAUUAAUUGACUGCUUGCACUCUGAUCCAAUUUAUUGCAUUUGCUAAGAUCCAUCAUCAGACAGGAAUUCAUAUAUCCUUGUAU
rnacentral:misc_RNA from 1 species